CAUUCAACUGAAAGGGCAAAGCAAAAGAAAUGGCCGAUGGGCCCUCUAAAACAGAGGCUCGUCAAUGUGCGGCAGUCCGUCCCGUCCAGGCCCAUUGGCCGGAUCUCAUUCCAGUAAAAGUAAGACGACGGCGUUUCAGCUAAUUUAGCUCAGUUUGCUAGUCCCAUAAAACGCUGCUUUUUCUGAGUGUUCCCGCCUUGGUCAAUCAUAGACCCCAUCUUGAUUAAGUGUUUAACUGCUUGUGGAAAGAACAUGCAGAAAGAAUAUCCAAAAAUAACUGCUUGUGGAAAGAACAUGCAGAAAGAAUAUCCAAAAAAGUAUUCGAAUCCGAGAGGGGAGACAGAGAGAGAGAGAGAGAGAGCAACCUCUCGAGUCUCGUCAGAAGUUACCAAGCUAAGUCGUAUCAUGGUUACCACUUGCCAGAAGGUUGUUCGAUGAAUGCCUGAAAUCGGUUAGUAUGAGUUGAAAUUUGGGUUUAUGGGUGAUCCUUUUAUAUAUGUUAGGUUGUUUCAUUUCCUGAUCAAUGAUCCAUGCCUUUAGUUUCUAUUGAUCAUGAAAUCUUUGACGGGAAUGUGUGUGUAAAUAUAAUGGAUUCUUGAAGCCAGCUUGUUUGCCGCUUGAAAUUUAUUAUAUUUCUUUUUCUUCCUUAUUUUCACUUCUGAUUUUUCUCUCUCCGCGGUUCCUGAUAUCCGGAGGAGUCUUCAAAGAGGCCAAACGGGGAAACAGGGAAGAACAAGGAAUCAGCUCUCCUCCAUAUGGUUUGGGCGGUAAAAGUUUCGAGAGGAAUAGAGAAUUAUUGUGGACAGGUGGCAGUUUUCUAACUUACUUCAUGUGUUCGGAAGACAACGGUGAAAGCAUUAACCUCCAUCCAUCGCAAAAGCAACUCUUCACUUCUUCGAUACUUAAUAACAGUGUAGAUGCAUGCAUUACCUGCAGCCAAAAUGCUGAAACAGGGGUAUUGUGAGCCUGUAGUUUCUCCCAAACUUGGCGGACACUAUCUGUGCCACCCUGCAUUCCAACAACAGCACCGGAUAUAAUCCACUCAGGAAGCUCAGGAAGUCUCCCAAUUGUUUCUGUGAAGCGUUCAAUGAGCUCUGAAGGCAUCAUGGUGAGAGGCAGCACUCAUAUUGUCCUUUGCUUGUCACUGCCUGAAUGCAUGAAUCCUCCCACAAUCUUGGCCCCAUACAAGAGGACACGUGAGUGCUUGUACAUAUGAAUCUUCCCGCAAUUUUGGUGAUGUUCUUUCUUCUGAAAUCUCCCCUACAAUAAAUACGAAUGAUUGUACUGCGUACGUAUGAAUCUUCCGACAAUCUUGGUAAUGUGCAUCCUUUUGAAAUUUUCACAUAUUUGAUGUCUGCUACUUUUCACCUCAGCUAUUUUGUUAUUUGUACUUUACACUCUUAAUGUUUGCCUAUUUGUAUUUGUGUUU